GGGACUUAACAAGUUUUUGGCACCGUUGCCGAGGACUCGUGCUUUAACUUAUCUACUAGUGUAAAUUGAUUAAAUUUGACUUGAUUGUAUAUAUUUUAUUCUUUUUUUUGUUUUUUUUUUAUAUAAAAGUGCUACUAGAGUUUUUGUUUCUUGUGCAUGCAGGAGUCUAGACAUACUAGGAGCAAGAAAAAUACGCAACCUCUUCUUGAAGGCUUGACUAAAACAAGGGAAAGGAGAGUCAGACGCCCAUCUAGGGAGUUGGUUCCCUCUCCUGAUAGAUUAUUAUCACCUUCACCAAAAGCUCGUACACUAGAUUCAGAAGAGAUGGCAAAUAAGCGACCUCCUCCAAGACGCACUCUUGCAGACCAAUCUAAUGUUGUUGGCCCUUUCCACUUCAAC
rnacentral:lncRNA from 1 species